UGGAGAGAUGGAGCCUGAACCUGGGUACCGUGGGGACAGAGAGAAGUCAGGUGGGUGCAUGGCCUUAGGAGUGAUGGGGGAUUAGAAUUUGGGAUUUCCCUCUUCUGGGGUCAGGGGAUGAGGGUAACAUCCUCCCUUCCUAUCCCCUACCCCCUCCCACAGCCACAGAGUCGACGCCAGGAGAAAGGGGGGAGGAGAAGCCGUUGGAUGGACAGGAACACAGGGAGAGGCCGGAGGGGGAAACAGGGGAUUUGGGCAAGAGAGGUAAUGGGUGGAAGGACUGGACACCUGCGUCCCGGAGGGCAUCAGGGGAGGUGGAGUCUGGGGAACCGAAUGCUUGGGUCCUGGGCGGGUAGCUGUUUGAAAGGCCAGUACAGUACAGUACAGAUAGUAGUCUUGGGACGUGGGAGGAGGGUGUCCUGAGGUGUGAGCUUUGCCCUGUCUGUCCUAGCAGAAGAUGCAAAAGGUGACCGGGAGCUUCGACCAGGGCCUCGAGAUGAGCCACGGUCCAAUGGGCGACGAGAGGAAAAGACAGAGAAGCCCCGGUUCAUGUUCAAUAUCGCAGAUGGUGGCUUCACAGAGCUUCACACACUGUGGCAGAAUGAGGAACGGGCAGCUAUUUCCUCGGGGAAACUCAAUGAGAUCUGGCACAGAAGACAUGACUAUUGGCUUCUGGCUGGGAUUGUCCUGUAUCCUUUGAUACACAUGCAAGAAGGAAAAGGUUCUCUCAAGCUGGCAAAAAAAAAA
rnacentral:sRNA from 1 species